AACUGAAGAGUUUGAUCAUGGCUCAGAUUGAACGCUGGCGGCAGGCUUAACACAUGCAAGUCGAGCGGGGGAAGGUAGCUUGCUACUGGACCUAGCGGCGGACGGGUGAGUAAUGCUUAGGAAUCUGCCUAUUAGUGGGGGACAACAUCUCGAAAGGGAUGCUAAUACCGCAUACGUCCUACGGGAGAAAGCAGGGGAUCUUCGGACCUUGCGCUAAUAGAUGA
rnacentral:rRNA from 1 species